rnacentral:rRNA from 1 species
UACGUAGGGUGUAAGCGUUAAUCGGAAUUACUGGGCGUAAAGCGUGCGCAGGCGGUUUUGUAAGUCUGAUGUGAAAUCCCCGGGCUCAACCUGGGAAUUGCAUUGGAGACUGCAAGGCUAGAAUCUGGCAGAGGGGGGUAGAAUUCCACGUGUAGCAGUGAAAUGCGUAGAGAUGUGGAGGAACACCGAUGGCGAAGGCAGCCCCCUGGGUCAAGAUUGACGCUCAUGCACGAAAGCGUGGGGAGCAAACAGG